CCCUACGGGGCGCAGCAGUGAGGAAUAUUGGUCAAUGGGCGGGAGCCUGAACCAGCCAAGUCGCGUGAGGGAAGACGGUCCUAUGGAUUGUAAACCUCUUUUGUCGGGGAGCAAAGAGGCUACGUGUGGUCAAAAGCGAGAGUACCCGAAGAAAAAGCAUCGGCUAACUCCGUGCCAGCAGCCGCGGUAAUACGGAGGAUGCGAGCGUUAUCCGGAUUUAUUGGGUUUAAAGGGUGCGUAGGCGGGACGGUAAGUCAGCGGUAAAAAUGCGGAGCUCAACUCGCCCCCGCCCCCCCCCCCCCCCC
rnacentral:rRNA from 1 species